GUAAAGGUCUGUUGCAGGAGCUGUAGUAAGCACAUCGUUUUCGGAUAUUACGAGGAUGGAGAUAAGAAACUAACAACCUGCACCUGCAAAUACGACCCUGCUUGGCUAGCUUUUGAAGCUGGUAAAAAAUAUUGUAAGGACAAACAAGAUAAUGGUGAUACUGAUGAAGAAUCAGACAAAGGUUAUCAAGAAGCUGCUAAAAAAUAUUCUAAGGACAUACAAGAUAAUGGUGAUACUGAUGAAGAAUCAGAACAAAGAAGUAAUUAUAGACAUUAUUUAAAUACGGUUGCAUUUCAGAGUUAACCCGACCUAUUAUAUUUUAAACAUUCUUCAACAAUUUUGUACAUUCCCAUC